UCGAGCGGGCGUAGCAAUACGUCAGCGGCAGACGGGUGAGUAACGCGUGGGAACAUACCUUUUGGUUCGGAACAACACAGGGAAACUUGUGCUAAUACCGGAUAAGCCCUUACGGGGAAAGAUUUAUCGCCGAAAGAUUGGCCCGCGUCUGAUUAGCUAGUUGGUGAGGUAAUGGCUCACCAAGGCGACGAUCAGUAGCUGGUCUGAGAGGAUGAUCAGCCACAUUGGGACUGAGACACGGCCCAAACUCCUACGGGAGGCAGCAGUGGGAAUAUUGGACAAUGGGCGCAAGCCUGAUCCAGCCAUGCCGCGUGAGUGAUGAAGGCCCUAGGGUUGUAAAGCUCUUUUGUGCGGGAAGAUAAUGACGGUACCGCAAGAAUAAGCCCCGGCUAACUUCGUGCCAGCAGCCGCG
rnacentral:rRNA from 1 species